GAGAGUUAGAGAGACAGCGAUAAAGAAAGAGAGAGUGAGAGAGAGAGAGCAUAGAGAGACAGAGAGUUAGAGAGACAGCGAUAAAGAAAGAGAGAGUGAGAGAGAGAGAGCAUAGAGAGACAGAGAGUUAGAGAGACAGAAAGCAUAGAGAGACAGAGAGUUAGAGAGACAGCGAUAAAGAAAGAGAGAGUGAGAGAGAGAGAGCAUAGAGAGACAGACAGAGAGUUAGAGAGACAGAGAGUUAGAGAGACAGCGAUAAAGAAAGAGAGAGUGAGAGAGAGAGAGAGAGUUAGAGAGACAGCGAUAAAGAAAGAGAGAGUGAGAGAGAGAGAGCAUAGAGAGACAGAGAGUUAGAGAGACAGCGAUAAAGAAAGAGAGAGUGAGAGAGAGAGCAUAGAGAGACAGAGAGUUAGAGAGACAGCGAUAAAGAAAGAGAGAGAGAGAGAGCAUAGAGAGACAGAGAGUUAGAGAGACAGAGAGUUAGAGAGACAGUGAUAAAGAAAGAGAGAGUGAGAGAGAGAGAGAGAGAGAG
ensembl:lncRNA